AUUGGACGCUGGCGGCAGGCCUAACACAUGCAAGUCGAGCGGAUGAAGGGAGCUUGCUCCAGGAUUCAGCGGCGGACGGGUGAGUAAUGCCUAGGAAUCUGCCUGGUAGUGGGGGAUAACGUCCGGAAACGGGCGCUAAUACCGCAUACGUCCUGAGGGAGAAAGUGGGGGAUCUUCGGACCUCACGCUAUCAGAUGAGCCUAGGUCGGAUUAGCUAGUUGGUGGGGUAAAGGCCUACCAAGGCGACGAUCCGUAACUGGUCUGAGAGGAUGAUCAGUCACACUGGAACUGAGACACGGUCCAGACUCCUACGGGAGGCAGCAGUGGGGAAUAUUGGACAAUGGGCGAAAGCCUGAUCCAGCCAUGCCGCGUGUGUGAAGAAGGUCUUCGGAUUGUAAAGCACUUUAAGUUGGGAGGAAGGGCAGUAAGUUAAUACCUUGCUGUUUUGACGUUACCAACAGAAUAAGCACCGGCUAACUUCGUG
rnacentral:rRNA from 1 species